UACGUAGGGGGCUAGCGUUAUCCGGAAUUACUGGGCGUAAAGGGUGCGUAGGUGGUUUCUUAAGUCAGAGGUGAAAGGCUACGGCUCAACCGUAGUAAGCCUUUGAAACUGGGAAACUUGAGUGCGGGAGAGGAGAGUGGAAUUCCUAGUGUAGCGGUGAAAUGCGUAGAUAUUAGGAGGAACACCAGUUGCGAUGGCGGCUCUCUGGACUGUAACUGACACUGAGGCACGAAAGCGUGGGGAGCAAACAGG
rnacentral:rRNA from 1 species